rnacentral:rRNA from 2 species
CGCGUAGGCGGCUUGCCAAGUCAGUGGUGAAAUCCCGCAGCUUAACUGCGGAAGUGCCUUUGAUACUGGCGAGCUCGAGGGAGGUAGGGGUAUGUGGAACUUCUGGUGGAGCGGUGAAAUGCGUUGAUAUCAGAAGGAACGCCGGUGGCGAAAGCGACGUACUGGACCUCUUCUGACGCUGAGGCGCGAAAGCUAGGGGAGCAAACGGGAUUAGAUACCCCGGUAGUCCUAGCCCUAAACGAUGGGUACUAGGUUGUGGACUAACAUGGGUUCACAGCCGAAGCAAAAGUGUUAAGUACCCCGCCUGGGGAGUAUGGUCGCAAGGCUGAA